GACAGAGGGUGCAAACGUUGCUCGGAAUUACUGGGCGUAAAGCGCGUGUAGGUGGACUGGUGUGUCAGAUGUGAAAUCCCUGGGCUCAACCCAGGAACUGCACCUGAAACUACCAGCCUUGAGUGGUGGAGAGGGAAGUGGAAUUCCUGGUGUAGAGGUGAAAUUCGUAGAUAUCAGGAGGAACCCCAGUGGCGAAGGCGGCUUCCUGGACACCAACUGACGCUGAGACGCGAAAGCGUGGGGAGCAAACAGG
rnacentral:rRNA from 1 species